CAGCAGUCUCAAAAGGAACAGACACCAGCUGCAGGUGUGCUGCUGUAUGUGCGUCUGACUCUGGUCAUCAUGAUCAUCGUACUGUCAACGGCUGUGCUGAUAAUCUGCAGGAAGAGGGCCAGUGAACCCAAAGAACCUUCUGUAGAAGCUGUGUACGCUAAUAUCACAGAGGCCAACCGGGUGUCUGAGGAGAUCAGAGAGGAAGACGAAGAGAGCAGAACUCCUCCUUUAGAAAUGUCUGCAGUUUAAACUUUCUACUGAAGCCAGUUCUCAGAAGCAAGUAAGAAUAAAUGUGGAAGGAAUUUAGCUUUGGGUUCAGGACACAGUAUCUUUACACUUCAUCUGCUAAAAUAACGUCUAACAACUUCACUGUACAGCAGAGAAAAUCUUUUUGCAGUGGCAGAAUACAGAACAGAUUGUGGACAUGUCCUCAAAAAUAUGGUUUUAAACAAACUUCACAUCUUAUGUUUGAGAGUAAGGUGAUGCCCUCUUAAGAAA